CAGGGAUCCACAAAACAGCAGUGGGUCUAGUUGCACUCCUUUUUACUAGGCCUUACACAACCCCUGUACAUGGUUAGAUGUAGGGUGACAAAAAUUGGGCAUCGGCUUGUUGUAGAAUUAUAGAAUUCUUGAAAUUAUCUAAGCUAAUGCUUUGGCAGGAAGAAAUGUGCUGAAUAAUAAAAUGUGUAUUUACUAAAAGAACCUUGAAGCUAACAAUACUAAC